GUCUGUGUAAUAACAGGUUUAUGAAAGGCCGAACAUAGCUGUGAAUUUUUAUAACAAAUGGACUAAACCGAUUUUAAAUAAAAAUUCAUCACGUACACAUUUACUGUAUUACAGUACUUUAUUAAUAAGAUUCCCAUACUCCAAGUCAGAGUAACAAAAAUACAAGCAGAGUUAUCAUUACAGUAAGAGACUUUGGAAAGUUCAGAAUUCUGCAGAAAAAUUAGAUAAGUCAUAUUUGCACACUGGAUCAUGAAGUAAAACCUCAGUGUAUACAGUGAUAAAUGAUAGAGGCACAAGAUACUUCUAGUGAUUAGUUAGCUACAGGGAGAAAUUGGACCUACAGUAACUCUGGCCAUUACAAUUCAGCCAGUCAAUCCCAGAGAAACAUACUGUCCCCCAAUACUGGAAAAGUAUACAAUUUCAUGAUAUGGAAGUAUUUUAAAUAGAUGAUGCAGUUUUAACUGAUGCUUUCUAAAGAAAGGACAUCCCAGGAACUAACUUCAUUACUAAAGUCAUCUGAACUUGCCAGUUAGCUUACUGCACAUGCAAUUAUAGAUUCUAGAGACAUUUAAAAAUCAGUCUUCUGAAUAUUGUAGAUGCCCAAGAAAAGCACAGAACCACAGUUCAGUGCCUUUCAUCUUUCUUUGGUUUAGCUUUUACACCUGACAAUCAGUAAGGCAGACUGUGUACACAAACCUCAAUUAGCAAAAGGCAGAACAUACAUCCUGCAGCAGAGUAACUGUUUCUUCCCCCACUCUUUAAAAGGGAGAAUUAUAAAGGCACAUGGGAAACACAUUCUACAGGACUAUUUCACCCUUCACCUCCCAAACCACAUUCAUGGAUGUCACACCUGCCUUUGUGAAAUUAAAAUAGAUAACCUUCCAUUUAAAAUAAAAAGCUCUGUAUUGUGUCUAUUAUCUCCAAAACAAAAAGAUUUGAAAUAACUUCAUCUGUUAAAAGAAUUGCUGUUAAGCACAACUGCACAUGGAUAUGUAUAUGCAUUUUGGUUGCUACAAAGCACAUGAUGUGUGAUCUAUGAAGCAACACACUUUUCUGUAAGAGUGAGCAGCCUAUAGAAAACAAUCAAGCUGCAGCAGAGUUGCACAUUUGGUAACAAAGGCUAGUCUGAGUAACAAAUGCCAAAGGAAAUCAAGAAGUAAAUACCUUCAGGACCUGCAGACCCUAGGAGAGUAGUCUGCCAGCUGAUCUGAUUAAACAGCAAAAUAGGUAAAUAUUAACUUCAUAAUGAGAAAAUUGUCAUUUUUAUCUCCCCUUCAUAUACCACUUGUCUGACUUCAUAGUUCAGUUAGCUGGCUCCAUGAUGAGCUUUACUUCCUGCCAGUUUAUUCCAUUGUAGGAACAGAUUUUACAUCGAAGGAUUGAAAAUGUUUUGUACUUUGAUUGUAAUCUGAUUUUUGUUAUUAAAUUAAUGAAAUAAACUUAUUUCCAUUAUCAGUUCAGUAAUUAAAGAAUUUGGAUGUGGUCAUUCUGGAUGUAUACAACAUUUGAUGCCUGAAUACCCAGACACAAUUAUCUUUCUAUUUCAAGAAAUGUAGUCUCUGGUUCCCAAAUAUUUAAAUGAACUACGCACUACAUAAAAGGAAAAUGCAGUUUAAAUUCAGGGAGGAUAAAAAUAAAUUCAAGAAGUCAAGAUAAGCCUAUUUAAUUUAAAUCUGAUUUAAAUGGAAAAAUAGUUAUUUUUAAAAAGAAAAAAAAGUGUAUUUAAAAUUAUAUAUAAAGUUAUGACAACCUAUAUUAAAAGCUUAAACUUAAUAGAGUCUAUUAAAAUAACUAAAUUGAAUACAAAUAUUAAAGCAGUACAUAUUUGCUGCCAAAACUUUAAAGAAAGCCAAACCAGUGAAGUUGGUAGAAGUCACUGGCUAAAACAAUAUAUAACCAGUUUGUUGAAGCGCUAAACCAGCUUUGACAGCAGUACAGAAUUACAGGUACAGAGGAAAUUUUUCUUCAUUUUAGUUUGUUCAGCUCAAUGCCUAGUUAUUUCAAAACCGAGACACUGAUUGGGAGUUGGAAAAAACAGGAAAUAUCGUUUUCCUCUUCCAGUUUAUGAAUAAGAACCGCCAUGAGAAUGGCUACACCACUUACUCAACAUCUAAUUCAUUGUUUGUGCCCUCAGAAACCAUACACCAGAAGAACAAAAACCAGGUGAGAGGAUGAGUUCUACUAAUUCUAAAAUCUUGAAGGAGAUUGUCACCAGAAGAACAGUUUAUUUCACUAACUACAGAUAAUACUUCCUUUGUUGAAUAAAUCAUUGUUUUAAAUGCAAAACAGGUACUGAUAGAAAACUUAUGUUUUCUUACGCAUUUAGCACAUUUAAGGUAGUUUCAUUUAACUAAUGAAAAGCAAUUUUAAAUUACCAUUUUUGUGCAUUUUUAAUUGCAUUCCGACUUCCAACCUAAUGCAGUUUGACACAGUCAUGACUAAAAAAUUAAUCUAUUGACUAAAAAAAAAAAUCUAUGAAAUAUGUAAAGCAUCAUUCACCAUUUUCUAACUUAAUAAAAAUGCAAAAAUUAAGACAGAAUACAGUUAUUUUAAGAUACAUAAUUUCUUAAAUAAAUGUGGAUAUCUAUAUCUAUAUCAUGUACCUUUCUGGUGAGUAGAAAGUACCACAUUUAGUGUAAAGGCUAUAUUUAGUUGCAAAUCAACAUUUAAUAGUUAUCAACCAGUGAGACUCAAUUUCUUUAGGAAAGAAAAGUACAAAUGCAAAACAAGAUUAAUCAAAGUUUCCUGCUUGCUGAUUUAAAUUGGUGAUUAAAAUUGCUUUGAUUUAAAUCAAUCUACCCUGAGUACAAGAUAAUGGAAGUUUCCAUGGCACCAAAAACUCUGAUGUCUCUAUUCAAGCGUAAAUCAAGAGAGAACAAACAGGUGCUUAUUAUGUCACCUACUUCUAAACAUCUUUGUUAACAAAAGUUCGGACACAGCUGUCUGUACCCUCCCAUUAAUAAUAUUACAAGAAAAAUCCCAAACACAUGAAGAGGAUUUAAAAGCUGCAACUUGUACUAUGUACAUAUUUAAAUGUAUUAAGCAAAGAUUAGUGUUAUAAAACCAAUCAGCAGGACUUUUAGAAUCUCCAAGUUUUGCUUUCUUUUUAAAGCUUGCCCUUUAUUUGCAAGGUAAUAUUUUCAGCCUCUAGAUAGAAAGUUUUCAACACAGAAUUUUUUUCCAGAUAACAUGGAGCAAUCCAUCAUGAAGCUAGGUAAAACAGCAUAAAAUAGCUACCAUGAACUAGACAAUAUGAAAGUUACUGACAUUGUGCCUCAUUCUAUGGCUUGAUUAAAAUAAGUCGUGUGUGUGUGUAUAUAGAUAAAGUGCUAGUUAAUUUGUCUACUAAAAGUUUAAUACAAAAAUAUGGCUUUCACUCUGAACAGAAUGGCUACAAAGUCCAAGGAACAGCACCAGAACUCUACCGUUCAAAUUCUCAAUGCAAUGAGCAAUUUCCCCUCAAUCAAAA